UCGCCUCCUUUUCCCUAAACUCUCUCCAAAAUGAAGGCGCUAAACCAUGCUCUCCACCCCGAGUGACGAUUUUUAUCAUUUCCACCUUCUCCCACAAGACUGUCUGUUGGUUUUGCCAGUAACCUUGUUUCUCUCCAGAACCUAAGUUGCGGGAUCACUAUCUCAGCCUCUUGCCCUUCUUCCGCACACUCCAGAGGAAAGCAGGUGGCAGCAAUAAAUCAACCUACUCACCAUCUGAAAAACAGGGUUAAGGAUGAACAGAGUAGCUGUAGAAGAGCUGCUUGACAGAACACAGAAGGACAUUGCUGACAGAUGGCAGCGUAUAUCAUAUUGGAAGAUGAGCAGGUGAAUAAACCUCUGAAGUUCUGCAACAGUGUUGCCUGUAUAAAGACGGGGAGAGAGUUGUCAUCUGUGAUUGUUGCAGGGUCUGGUCCUUGUGUUUGCAUCUCUGUUGUGUAACCUAUUGUUGGUGAGCUGUUAUAGGUUCAGUAAAAUAGCAAUUAAAUAUACAAAUAAUAUAAUGAAAUGGU